CAAAGGAGCAUAAAUCAUCUGUCUACACUGGAAAACAUCAGUUCACCAGUUGAGGUGGAUAUUAGUGAAGGUGCAGUUGAUAAACGUUUUGCUUUGGUACAAAAACACAUCUUGUAAUUUCCUCUCAGAGUUUCAUUUGGAGACCCUCAUCAGGGUUUACUACCUGCUCUUGUUUACAGGUAGUAGCCGUUCCUGAUUGGAUGAAUCUGUGCUCGUUCCUUAGCUCAUUAUCAUAAACGUCACCAUCAGGUUCAGUCUGGAUCUUCCUCACCUGAAGCCGGCUGGGAGUCCUGGAGGAUGAAGACGAAGAUGACGAAGACCCUGAGUAACAUGGUUGAUUUCAUCAGAACGCUACCAUCGCUCUUCUAAAGUCUGGAGCAGAGCGGAGCUGCAGUUCAUCAGAACCGAGCCGUUGGAUCCUGACCAACUCUACCAGAGCAACAAUAAGAUGAAGAGGAGCAGAAGGAAGAAGAAGGAGCAGGACUGACCUCCUGGGGUC